rnacentral:lncRNA from 1 species
AUAUCCCUCUUAAUUUGUAUAUAUAUAUAUAUAUUUGGUUUGGGUAGACACUGGGACGUGCAUUAGGAGGAAAGAUUGGGAGGGCAAAGUGAGGAUAGGAUAUCGGAGUUACAACUGUACAUCUCUCGCCGUCAUCCUCUAAGGCGUUGGAUUCAUCUUUGAAGAUACCUGCUAUAUUGUCCCUGAUCGAGACGAGGUAGGUGCGUGCGUGCAUUAAUUCUCAUUUUAAAUUAAAUCAAUAAAUAAUUCCCAGAAAUUAAACAAGAUCCUGCAUUAAUAAUUCAUGUUAUUGUAUUGUUCAGGUAUGGGAGCUUCCUCCUAAAGCAGAGGCAGAGGUGAUGGCAUGGUCGGACACUAGACUAGCAUCUUGUGCAGUGUGAUAUUGUAGGCUUGACUAACUUCAGAUUGCAACUCGAUGCUUCUGUAUAAUUGAAUUUGUAUAUCGAGCAAGCUAGCUAGCAUUUGGUUAAUUGGUUGCUACUUGGAUAAAAAAGGAAAGAUUUGUCCCAUUUAUUUUGUCAUGUUCACCUUCAAUCGUCUUACUGUUACCCUAUAUUAAACUUUAUAAUAUAUCUACUACACAAAGAAAAUCAUUCAAACUAUCAUGUACACACUCCAAAUUCAAGAA